AACGGCCGCGGUAUCCUAACCGUGCAAAGGUAGCAUAAUCACUUGCCUAUUAAUUGUAGGCUAGAAUGAAUGGGUUAACGAAAUAAAGACUGUCUCAGUUAGUUAAAUAAAAAUUACUCUCUACCUGAAGAAAGGUAGAUACUCUCGAAGGACAAGAAGACCCUAUAGAGCUUUAUUAUAAGUAUAGAACUACACCAUACAAAAAUUCGGUUGGGGCGACCUAGGGAAUAUUUAUCACCCUACUAAACAAAGAUAACUUAAUCCAAUUAAUGACCCUUUAAUAGAUCAAAAAACCAAGCUACCUUAGGGAUAACAGGCUAAUCCCACUCAAGAGUCCUUAUCAAAAGCGGGGGUUGGCACCUCGAUGUUGGCUUAGG
rnacentral:rRNA from 1 species